GUUCGAUCCUCAGCACCACAUACAAACAAAGAUGUUGUGUCCACCGAGAACUAAAAAAAUAAAUAAAUAUUAAAAAAAAAACAAAAAAAAAAACCUGCACCAUGCAGUCCCCAAGAAACAAACCCACAUUUCAUACUCCUUCAGGGCAGGAAUUAUAUUUUGCAAUUCUUUGCAUCUAGCAUAGUCCCUCUCACAGGCUAAGAUCUCAAGCAAGAACUUCUUGCUGGCUAAUGACUCUGAUUAUCUGUAUGUGUGUGUGGGGGGUGGGGGUGGGGGGGUGGGGGGAGGUUGUGGAGGAAUCUGAAUUUUAUUCAGUAUAGAGAAAAAAGUAGUUUCAAAGGUCUUGUGCAUGGGAGUGAUGCAGUUGGCUCAAAUAAAUCAAAAUAGUUUGGGUCAGCCCUGGGUUUGGAGGAGGCAGCUUUGUAGAAAUGGAUAAGAUUUUAAUCCAUUUGAAAGCAUACAGAAGCUAAGAGCAAACAGAAUCAAAGAUGGGAGUUCACCCAUUGCAAAAUCAUCUCUCUUCAUGAAGAAUGUGUUUUAAGUGCACCCAUUCAUAUACUAGCCCAACAUCUUUAUUGAGUACUUACUAUAUGCCUAGGUACCUGGAAGUUGCAAAGAUGCAUAUCAAUGCAUUUUUUUUAUAUAUAUAUUUUUUUUAAUAUUUAUUUUUUAGUUAUCGGCAGAUACAACAUCUUCGUUUUGUAUGUGGUGCUGAGGAUCGAACCCUGGCCGCA
rnacentral:lncRNA from 1 species